rnacentral:lncRNA from 1 species
UCACAAGCAAAAGAGCUGAAGGUUGAAAGGUAAAUAAGCACAAAGGAAUCAUCAGUACAAAGAGAGACUGUGACAAGACUAGACAAUUCUAUUCAAAAUUUUGAGAACUGGAGUAUAACAAAUGAGAAUGAAGAAACCAAUGAUGGAAACAUCAAGAUGAGGCCCAAUGGACCAUUAGGAGGUGGGUCUAUAAAAACUCUGAAGACAACACCAUGCUACUUGUUGCUGGCUUCUGUAUGUUAUUUCUGACACAAUGCUUAGGCAGUCUUGCUCCACUAAGAAAAAGCUGGUAGAACACAUAUAGACACUAAUAAUACGUUAAUUAUAUUAAAAAUAGGGGGCUUAUUUUAAAAUACAACUUAACUAAUAGAGUGAAAACAAUACACUGGUUGUCGUUAAACUUCCCCUUUUCUUCAUUCAUCAAAAGUGUAUCUACUGAAUACCUAACAUAAAGAAAUCAUUUAUACUGGGGUAAAUUACACAUCAAUCUAAACUUCCAGAAAAUUUUAUUCAUUAUAUAAAGUUAAAUAAGGUUGUAAAUAUCUAGAGUCCAAGGUGAAUGUGGUAUAUAUCAUAAGCGAUGUACAAAAAACAUACUGUCCGGGCACUGUGACUCAGGCCUGUAAUCCCAGUACUUUGGGAGGUCAAGGUGGGAGGAUUGCUUGAGCCCAGGAGUUUGAAACCAGCCUGGCCAACAGGGCGAAAUCCCAUCUCUACAAAAAAUACAAACAUUUGUCGGGUAUGGUGGUGCAGGACUGUAGUCCUACCUAUUCUGGAGGCUGAGGCGGGAAGAUCACUUGAUCCUAGGAGGCAGAGGUUGCAGUGAGCCGAGAUCGUGCCAUUGCACUCUAGCCUGGGAGACAGAGUUAAACUCUGUCACAACAAAACAAAACAAAAAAUACAUGCUGGGAAAGUUCAAAGAAUGGGGUCAUUUCCAGGGAAAUUUCCACAGAUGAUGUCAUAGACAACCUUGACUUUGAGGAAGAGCUAGGAUAUACAAAGUCCCAGAUAUUGGUGAGAAGAAAUCACUAAUGCUAUGGUCAUACAUUUUUAUGUUUUUUGUUUUGCAAUGAUAGCAAUGCUGGUGGUGGUAAGUAAUGAUUGCAUAUCCCAAUUUGGAGAGAACAUGAUACAAUAUGCCUUCUUGCAUGUAAUUCUGUGAAGAACGAUCAUUGCAUGUAUUGCCCAUGAAAUUGUAAUUAUAAUUAUAGCUUACAUAAUUAGAAUAUAAUAAAAUAUAACUACUUUUUCUGUUGACUUGAGUGGCACAAAUACCACCUUCUUUCCCACUAAAUGUAACAAAGAUUCCCUUUGUCUAACCGUAUGCUGUGAUCCUCCACCAGAUUUGCCAUGAUAGUGGCUGAAGAAG